rnacentral:rRNA from 1 species
UACGUAGGCAGCGAGCGUUGUUCGGAUUUACUGGGCGUAAAGAGUGCGUAGGCGGUUUUCUAAGUUUGGUGUGAAAUCUCCCGGCUCAACUGGGAGGGUGCGCCGAAGACUGGAAGGCUUGAGUAUGGGAGAGGUAAGCGGAAUUCCUGGUGUAGCGGUGAAAUGCGUAGAUAUCGGAAGGAACGCCGGUGGCGAAAGCGGAUCACUGGUCCUCUUCUGACGCUGAGGCGCGAAAGCCAGGGGAGCAAACGGG